AGCGGUUCUCGGCCUUUUGGCUAAGAUCAAGUGUAGUAUCUGUUCUUAUCAGUUUUUUUUUUUUUUGCAUUUUCAAUAAACUUUUUGAAGGAGAGAUAUGAAUUUAAGUCCAUUGUAUUUCCCUGCUGACAUGCCUUCCCUUCUUUAUUAGAAAACCACC
ensembl:snRNA U2 U2 spliceosomal RNA